AGCUUUGCGCAGUGGCAGUAUCGUAGCCAAUGAGGUUUAUCCAAGGCGCGAUUAUUGCUAAUUGUUCCUCUUCCUCUCAUCAUCUUCAUUAUCGGUGUGCUGCUUUUUUGCAAUGGUAUAUUUUGAUUCUUUUCC